UGCGCAGGCGGGCAUGUAAGUCAGUGGUGAAAUUCUGCCGCUUAACGGUAGCACUGCCAUUGAUACUGCAAGUCUUGAAUAUGGUUGAGGUAGGCGGAAUGUGUUGUGUAGCGGUGAAAUGCAUAGAUAUGACACAGAACGCCGAUUGCGAAGGCAGCUUACUAAGCCAUGAUUGACGCUGAGGCACGAAAGCGUGGGGAGCGAACAGGAUUAGAUACCCUGGUAGUCC
rnacentral:rRNA from 1 species